ACACCUCAACUCUCAUGGUUUUCCAUGAUGAGCUUGGACUUUGGAGGUUUUGCUGGCCUAUGGUCGGCUCCUCUCAAAUGAAUCAGCUUGCCAGUGUUUGGUGGCGUCACAGGUGUGAUAACUAUCUACGCUUGUGGUUGCUCACCAGGUAACCUUUGGUGACAGAGGUUCGCUGGAGCUUAUAAACGUCUCUCCUCGGCGAAGACACUUUUUGAAC
rnacentral:misc_RNA from 1 species